GUCCGGCUGAUGAGUCCAGAAUAGGACGAAACGCGUCCUGGAU
rnacentral:hammerhead_ribozyme from 1 species